rnacentral:lncRNA from 1 species
UUGGGGUUGGUGGUGAUAGUGAUUAUUACUGAUGCAAACCGACGACGGUGUUAUAUUGUUUUGCAUUGGUUUUUGCAGUGGUGGAUUGCGGUGGUUGUCAUGGUUUGGUUGCUUUUGUGACAAAUAAGUGGACUCGUGACUUUUUUGGCCCAUAAAAUCCAGUCUUGCUAGAGAAACAGGUUCAGUGAUAGAUUUUUACAUAGAUGGACAUUUGACAAAUUUUCAUUGUAAGUUGAUAAAAUAAAAAAAUAAAAAAAAGGGGCUAACAUUUCAGCCUCUGGAACAAGUUCCUGUCACUAAGUCUAUUCGUUUGGCUUGAUGCCAUAAAGUUUGAUCUCUCAAAGGCCUGUCUCAAUUUUUCCUUCACCCUUCUAUUUUUCUCAAGUUGAAAAUGUAAAAUAUUUGCUCAUUGUAUUGUUAUAAUUAUACGAAUUAAAUAUGUCGUGUAUUAAUAAAUGAUAGCACGUCUAUAUUACCCUCGAUAAAAA